UUUUAUACCCUUUCUUGCCAGCCACGCUGUGGAGUACUUGGACGCGUGUGAUGGAGCAUUGUCCUGCAUGAAAAUCAUGUUUUUCUUGAAGGAUGCAGACUUCUUCCUGUACCACUGCUUGAAGAAGGUGUCUUCCAGGAACUGGCAGUAGGACUGGGAGUUGAGCUUGACUCCAUCCUCAACCCGAAAAGGCCCCACAAGCUCAUCUUUGAUGAUACCAGCCCAAACCAGUACUCCACCUCCACCUUGCUGGCGCCUGAGUCGGACUGGAGCUCUCUGCCCUUUACCAAUCCAGCCACGGGCCCAUCCAUCUGGCCCAUCAAGACUCACUCUCAUUUCAUCAGUCCAUAAAAAAUCAAAAAUCAGUCUUGAGAUAUUUCUUGGCCCAGUCUUGACGUUUCAGCUUGUGUGUCUUGUUCAGUGGUGGUCGUCUUUCAGCCUUUCUUACCUUGGCCAUGUCUCUGAGUAUUGCACACCUUGUGCUUUUGGGCACUCCAGUGAUGUUGCAGCUCUGAAAUAUGGCCAAACUGGUGGCAAGUGGCAUCGUGGCAGCUGCACGCUUGACUUUUC